rnacentral:rRNA from 1 species
GUGGGGAAUAUUGGGCAAUGGGCGAAAGCCUGACCCAGCAACGCCGCGUGAGGGAAGAAGGUUUUCGGAUUGUAAACCUCUGUCCUUGGUGACGAAGGAAGUGACGGUAGCCAAGGAGGAAGCCCCGGCUAACUACGUGCCAGCAGCCGCGGUAAUACGUAGGGGGCGAGCGUUGUCCGGAAUGACUGGGCGUAAAGGGCGUGUAGGCGGCCGAUUAAGUCUGGAGUGAAAGUCCUGCUUUCAAGGUGGGAAUUGCUUUGGAGACUGGUUGGCUUGAGUGCGGAAGAGGUAAGUGGAAUUCCCAGUGUAGCGGUGAAAUGCGUAGAGAUUGGGAGGAACACCAGUGGCGAAGGCGACUUACUGGGCCGUAACUGACGCUGAGGCGCGAAAGCGUGGGGAGCGAACAGGAUUAGAAACCCGAGUAGUCC